AUUUUUUAUUCUUAGAACACAUGAAGCCAUUCCACAAGAAAUUCAAAGAGUCAGCUGGAUCACCAAGUCAGCAGCAAUAUCUGGGUAAUAGCCACUGUCUUUAAGGAAUGAUAUGAGGACAUCCUCUGGGAUGGCGAAGAGAUGAGGGGCAAAGCACAAACCCAAAGAACGGGAUGGUAGAAAUCUGGAAGACCUCACCCUGGCAAAAACCUGUCCAGAAAUGCGGGCCUCAACAUCAGCCUGUAUGCAUUUGCUGAGACGCUGUUCCUCUGUGGCCACAGUACGCAGGCACACAAAUCUUCACAUUUGGAAAAUCCAGCAGUCGGUUGAUACUUUCUUGCCUGGUUAGUGACCCACACCAAGUAAGUAUCUGCUGAGUGAGUAUUAAAAUGAUGGAAAAAGUCAUCAGCUGCAAAACAGCCAAGGAAACUCUAGUGGUUGAAAUUCCAGAGCAAAUGACAGCCAGGUAAUUCUAUGUUUGAACACCAUGGAAAUACUUGGAACUUAACUCUGGAGCAAGGCAUCUGUGAUUAAGUAGGGCUGAGUACUAUGCACAGCCUGAUCACUCUCCCACUCCACCCUCCAUUUACAUCUGCUGUCCCCUGUGCUGCAGAAGGAGGCCAGUUCCACUGCAUGGGGACUUUCCCUGGCAAACCAAGAUGGGAAGGGAUUUGAUACUUUGUUUUGGAUUACUUGAAGAACUGCAAAUUACAUUUUUAGCUCUUUCUGGGUAAGGUGCCCAGACUCUUUGAGGCAUAGGCUACUAAAAAUGCUGGCAGAGUUUCGGAAAGCACUGUGCAAACUGGGAAGACUUUGUUUCUGAGUGUCAUCCUUGAGGCAUCCUUACAGGGUCCCAGUUUCCAGAAAAAGCUGAGGAUAUCAGCUUUCUCUUCUAGGAUGUCUCAAAUUGACUAUGUAAAGACAAACGGUAUUCCAAGUAGAGAUGAGGAGUGAAUAUCCUUUCACUGAGAAGGGUAAAGAAAAAACUCCACAGAACACUUUCUAGCCACUUCUGAUUUCUUAUUUCCUAUUUAAAAGCAAUCACUGGGUUAAUUUUAAGUUCUUUAAAGGGAAACGGAGUGCUUAAAUUGGGCUUUGGGAGUCAGCUAGAGAAGGAGCAUACUGGGGAUUAGGCUGUUUUUUUUCCACAGAUUUCUAAGUGACAAUUUGAUCAAUACUGUCUCCGUGUGAAGCACUGGGAACAGCUUUUUGUCUUUCCACUGUCUGUUGCCAACCCCUGACAUGUGAUAUUCAGCUCAUCGGCUCGCAAAUAUCAAAGCAGCGUGGGGCACGAGAAGCAGCCUUCUGAGACCAAGCAGCCUCCAGCCUGGCUCUCAGUUGUGUGGGCAUGCUGUGUGAGUGUGCAGAGGGCAGUUAAGUAUAGGCUGGUUCUGUAUCAAAGUUCUUGUGGUUUCUAAUACUUGCCAGCCUUUGCUCUGUCAGAAGGGAUUUCAGUGUUGCCUUCCACCCUACAACGGGCAAAAGAGUCAGAAAUCAUCUCUCCUCACCCGCAAAGACUCAAGUAGGAUUAAGAAACAGAAAUUUAAGUCAGACACACCCAUGAAGAGGAAUGAGGCACAAGGUUAGGAAGCCAUCCAAAGCUCGCUUGCCUAUCCCCUUACUAAACUAAACAGACUCUUUUUGCCCAAGGAGACAACUAAAAAGCUGGGAAACAAAAAUUAAAAUCAGAUUGAAACCAGCCUCGCAUAAGCAAUAUCCCAUCUUAAAUGUGCACAGAUCAGUUUCAUUAAAAUAUUUCCCCGUUCUCUCUUUUUCCACCUCCUGAUAUUUUGGCUGCUUUCUUCAGAUCUCCCUUAAACGGCAUAGCAAAAUGCUUUCACUGACGUGGUUUGUAAUUUUUGAACCCUAAUCUUAAGCAGCAGGUGCUUAGUUUUAAUGGAAUUUUUCCAUCCCUGAAUGUCUGGGAGCAUCAGUAGCACCUCUCUCCUACACAGCCCCUCACCUUUGAUCCUUUGCCAUUUGCACUUGUGGGUUUUCAUUUACUGUAUUUCUUCUGCUUUCCACAAUCUGCUUUUUCACUGCAAAACCUUCAACUCUCCUCUUUCUUUUACCUCAUAUGAUUGGAAAGUGCAAUCUCCUAAAAAUCCUUAUUAAAUAUGAAGGGGCUGGCAGUCUCUGGCCUCUUUUUCAGCAGUGCCCUGUCUACUUCACACUACCAUUGCAAUUUGAAAGGCAUCACAAUGGAUUUAAAUAUUUGCAUCACAAUAACAAUUACAUUUUAAUUGCCAGAGGUCCCAGGGCUUAUGCACCCACAAAAAACUGGAACCAAUGUAACAGUUGGUUUUACUUCAUGCAAUUAGUUAUUUUGGAGUAAAUCUGUGUGUGGGCACGUUUGUUCCAUAUUAACAGUUUUUGUUUCCAUUUAAUUUUAGCUUUUCGGAUAAUCUGAUUUACUUAAUUUUCUCUUAUAAUUUCCUGUGUUGAGUAAACAUAAAUGAUUUUGUAUAGACUUGGUUUCAAGCAAAAUCCAAGGGAAAGUAUUCAUUUUACACACAUACAUCUAGCAGUUUGGAUUAAAAAUAGCUGUGUCAAUUCCCAUUUGUGCAUAGAACAAAUGGUAUCACAUCCUAACGUUAGAAUUAGAGAUGCUGUAAUGAGUGAGUGCCUGCACUGUCUUGGUGCUCAUAGAUUCCCCCUAAACACAGUUAUGAUUUAACCAUUUCUUUUUCACUGUUUUUUUUCUUACAUACAGGAAUUUCACACCCUGGUUUGUGCUUUAGCUAAUGUUCUAAGUGUAUUUCUACUUAACUGCUAGAGAAAGCUUCUUUUUCUCAUUUUCCUUUCUAUUGUGUAUCACAUACACAUGCAUACUGGAAUGGAAUUCUUGCUCAAAAAGCAAUGACUUGCUGCAGGCACGACCAUAUCUUUAUUCUCUAACAACUCAACAGAAAUUUGACUGAAAAUUCUCCCUUUUAACACAUAAACCUGCAUUGUGCAGUAGUAAAUCACAAGGUCUCACGUAGCUUUCUCAUAACUAAGUUUUAAUUGAGUUUUCCAUUCUUAACGAGGCAGCCCAAUUCCAGAAGGUCAUACCAGUCACUUCCUUAAUCCACAAAGCUCAGAGGCUAUCUUUUGUACUGACAGCAUGCAAAAAUGUUUAAUGCUAACACAAAUACCUUUCAUAGAUUAUUCUGAUUCUCAGGCUGAUUUCUAAGCCAGCUGUUCUCUGCCUGAUUCAAUGUGCAGAUUUCAUUUUAAAACACAGAAUAUUCCCUGGUUACCUGCCAUAUAACUAGAUUUUACAGGUGUAGAGCAUGUUUGUAAUGCUUGUUCAUCCAUUUGCGGGGAAAAAAAAAAAUCAUAAAAUAAAAUAUUUUGAGUAGCUUUCCUGGAUUCUAAUUCUUUCUCCCAACUCUAAGAUACUGUAUCAACUGAAGAAUGCCAGGAAUUACUUCAUACUUCAUAUAUGUACCUGUUGCAGAUUAUUUUCAUUAAUUUCAAAGCCAGCUGCUGUUUUUGCUUAAAGUAAUCCUUGUUGGUAUAUUUUUUAAUAACAUAAAUCUUUUAAGAAGAACUGCUUGCUGUGAUAUAGAAACAUUUAAAUCUGCCUGAAUUAUAGAUCUGUUACUCUUCUGUUCUUCUCACAUAAGUAGGGUCAGUAGCACAACACCUCUCCUUAGACUUACUCUCCAGAUAGCAACUUUGACACACAACACCAAACACAAAAGAAAGCUAUGAAUACAUUAAAUAAAAAGCAAACAAAACUGUCAGAAGAAGCUAACAAUAAUCUAGUAAAAUGUUUAGAAAUAGUAAGGUCAAUUGCAGAACAGAAGCUGAAGAUUCCGAAGAUUGCAGAAGCUGAGAAUCUAAGCAGAGGAUCUGGCUCCUUGCUCUGUAACCAAACGAUUUUGUGAUCACAGGCAAGUCACUUUUCCUUUGCCAUACCCUUUUGUUUUUCCUACAGUUUUGUUAGUCUUCUAGAGACUGGAGUUCUCUCUUACUAUUUGUUUAUGUCUGACAUAACGGGCUCCAUUUUGUACUGGAAUGAAAUACAAAUAUUAAUUUCCUGAUAUCCCGUCUCCCAGAGCGACUUCAGAUGAGUAUGAACCAUUGCCCCAAGUGAUAUCUGAUAAAUUGAGCAUCGCUCUGUUGUGGGAGAUAUUUUCUUUUAAUUCUAAAUCCAUCUGUUUUGCUGCGCUCUAAGUGAUAGUUUCUGGGCACAGAGCAUUCUAAUUGCAGGAUUAAACUUUUAGCUAACUCUUGGGUGGAAACUGUUUCCCAUAAUGUAGAAGAAAACACAUGUUGGUUUCUGUCUGCACACCCUUGAAUGUUAUAGCCCUGAUCUUGAUUGGAAUAUUUAGGUUCCCUUACUAAAGCAUGUCUGCGCAACAUAAUUUGAUUAAAAUUAAAUAAUAACUAGCUGUCAAGAAGCAUUAUUGAGAUUUUAGUGGCUCCAGAACAGCUUAGCAUUUAGUUGCUCUUUGAAGGCAGAAGCCAUUGUGCUGAAUGCAAUGAAUUGUGUACCUCCUCCAAAUAAGUAGCGCUCAAACUUAGGGGUGAAAAAUGAACCAUCACUUUGACUAAAUAUCUUAGGAUCAUUCUAAUUUUACAAACACACAGAAAUUCAAAACGUUUCCAAUCAUACAUGCUUGUAUGUAACAUUUCACUAUAAUGCCUCUCAUUGCUGUGGACAUGCACACUGAGGUGUGGCUGACAUCACUGAUGUGAACCAGACUUCACUGGCAAGCUGCAAGAAACAGCUGGCCCCCAAAUCUAUGGGUAUACCGGGGGGCACAUAUCAGACUGCCAGCCACAAACAUGGAGGAAACCUUUCAGAAAUUAUUCUGCUUGCAUCUCAUCUUAGGGCUCUCUAGUCAAAAUCCCAUUUGCUAACAAACAUACAGUAUUAAAACUUACUGAAGAUGCUGGAAACAACUUCAGUUUUCAAGAAGAUCUAGAUUGUUACACAAUGCCUUUUGUUGAUUUAACUCAGUUUUUACGGUUGUGUCAGUGGCUGCAGACCCCACAAGAAGUAUCACCCAAUCAAGCGCCCUGUAGCGUACACUGAAAUAUUUUAACCAAAUCCCCAAAAAGCAUUAGUAAACCUACCAGAAAAGUUAGCUGGGUGAAGGGAGAGAAUGAAGAGAGGCAAUAUGAACAGUGAACCAGGGCAGUAAAUAUUUCUUAAGUUUGAGAGCUCAGGAAAACAGAUUGCAAUUUGGGAAAAUACAGAACUUGAACAUGGGAUAAAGUUGGGCUGUAACAAACACUUCCCAUCCUUACCUCCUGUUCCUACCACAUCCUAACUCCUACCUGCCUUUAUGCUAAGGUAUCCUGACCAAUCUGCUGUUACCACAGCAAGGUCUAGGUUAUUCCCAUAUCUUCCCUGUUGGCAGUACUUUCUGUUCUCCUUUGUCACUUAACGAUGCUUGGGGAAGCAUCUCCCCUUCCAUACAGACUCUAAAAGCUAAUAUAAAGACUGAGAAACACCCAUAGUGGCUCAGUUCAUGAGUUCUCCUCCUGUUUUUGGAAGUGUAUGUGAAUAGAGCAAGAAUAUCCAUUAGUUUCCCAGGACACUCUCCCAGCCUCUAACAAUUUGCCAUCUAGCUCCACUAUCCCAUGCUCCUCAAAUGCAUACUCCCCUAUUCUUCCCAAAUCCCCCUCCCUAGUCUCCCAUUAACCAACGCCUACUCUAAUAUCCUGAGGAUAAUCACCAUAAGCAACUUAAUACGCCAUGAGAUAUUACAUCCCAUGCAACUCAAUUACUCAUCAACCUUCAAUGCUCUUUCUUGUUCCCAAAGCCCACAGCUCCCCACAGCACUUUCCAUUGAACCCUAAAGCUUAUUCUCCCUCUCUCCUUCUCCCACUGCUUCUCCAAAAAGUUCUACUGACCUUAAAUAUUCAACAAUACGAACGCAUCACAUUCUUGUUUAUUUGCACUUUUUCAGUUCCUUCAUUAAGCAGCAAACUCCCUAAUCUUUUUCUCACAUAAGCUGACCAGUUACACAUUGUACAUUCAAAGCAAUACUUGAGAAACAAAGAAAGAUAAGCCUGCACUUCUGACUAACCAGUGUAUAUUAGCUGAAUUCUUGCUCUGGAUUUGUUAGAACUCUGCAGCUGGGUUUUAUCCUUAAUGAGAAGCCAAGUAAACCCACUUUGCAGCAUGCACUGCAACCAACAUAUUUUAAGCAGGUGUGGGAAAAUUUAGCAAAGCACUAAUGACUUCUAAAAGUGCUAGCAGAAUCUGAAUUUAUACUGAAAGAUAGGCUGUCAAUUCAACACACAAAAUGAUUUUUUGUCAUUUCUGUGCCUGACUUAUCCAGCCUUCCUAGAGGGUAACCACAAACAAAAGUAGAAGCAGACUCAGAUAAAGAAAUAAAAUAGAAUAACAAAAUGUGUGGACUUCAAGACAGAGUAAAAUAAUUUUCACAGUUCUGUCUGAUGUCAUUUAUUUAAUUUUGCAUUAUUUAGAACUCUGGAAAUAUGUUGUUUAUGUAGAUGUAAAAUCAAUCCUAGGGUACUACAGUCUUCUGUAUUGGAUAUGAGAAACAAGAUUUCUAAUUAAAGAAAUGCAACCUUUAUUUUACUGGGUGACACAGAGGAAAGACAUGACCUUGGCAUGUUCACUCAUGCUCCUAGGUAAACCAAUAGUAGUGGACUCUCUAUACAAAACGUCUAAAUACUCAAUUUGUUAAGUAUGGCACUGUGACAGCUUAAUUCAGAUGAGUGUACCCUUCCCCCCCAACUCUUUCUCCAACCAGUUUUGACUCAGAAUGUGACUAGAGAGAAACACAGCAACAGUUUUCCCAAAUGUCUGCACACAAACUCAUAAUGUCUUUGCUCCUGGAUCUGAGAUGCCCCUGGUAGGCCUAAUCAGCGUGAAGAAAGCACACUCUCUGAAAUUCAGUCUUUAAUGCAAUGUCAGCUGUGGAACCAAAUCCAAAGUAUCCCUUAUCACUUAUCAGGUUUGAGAAGUUUAUUUUAAUUAUUAUUUUUGCUCAGUAGCAGUCCUCCUUUGUAAAGCCUUCUGAAUCCUUUUAAAAAUGUUGUUGAAUGUUGGCCCAUUUCUAUUAAAACAGUUAUGCUCUGCUUAGUUUAUAGACACUGCAUACAUGGAGAAAACACGUCUGUUUAUAUGGUGUGCUUUCCGUGACAUGUGGAAACUGCUGUUGAAGGCACUGGUGAAUGGCAGCACGCAAAUAAUCCUUACAUCUGCGUACAAACAAACCCAUAAGCUUCACAGAAGCUGCUCACAUUGGAUGUUCUUGGAGUGUGGGUUGAAGGAAAAAUCACAGUGUUUCCAAUUAGUCUUAAUUAAAACAGUGGAUAUCUCCUCAUUAUCCUUCAUACUAAGGUAUAUUUUACAACUUGAACAGCUUUUAACAGGAUUCAGAUCUCAUUUUUAAAUUAAGCUUUGACUCCCCCAAUUAACUUAAAGGCCAUAAAUAGUGCCACUUUGAAAUGAAAGACUUAGGACCAGAUUCAACAAACAUCUUUUAAGCACACUGUAAAACGUAACAUUAGGAACCUAGAUAUUUUCAGUCUACAUGUUAUAUAGAGAUAUUUUGAGAACUUCAGAAAUAAGGUCCCCUUCAGAAAGACCACAAACAGACAUUGUGGGCACAGUAAGCCACUGCUGACUUUAAAUCCUUCAGUUUGGUAUAUAUGAGUUAUGAACAAAAUACAGAAUAAGAACACACAAAUGCUGGGCAAUUUUCCUUAGAAGCUACAUCAAGUUAACAUUAUCUUGUCAGGGAGAAAUUAUAGUUACAGAAAACCUCUUAAGAAAGGAAGGAAAGAAAUGGAGGAAAAGAGAGUGACUGUGAAUUUGGGAAAAUAAAGGAACAUUAUUAAGCUUUUAGAAAAGUUACUUAAGUUAAUCGACAUCUGAAUACUGAUCCAGAUAUGGUAAAAUCAAUAAUAAUAAUAGCCCUAUGAUCACAUGGAGAAAUUCUUAGACUGCACUAUAGUACUGUAGCAUAGGAACGCGAAUAAUUAGAAAUCCGCCUCUUCCAAGGCUCAGAAAUUUUGAUAGAAAUAUCAGAGGAUUUAAGUUUAUUACAAGAUUGAACUGUAAGGUGUGAUAUCUGCCUUGAAGUGUGAAUCAAAUAUUCUC